GUCAACAACAGAAUCUGGAUCCAUAUCUGAUCAGCACUGUUUGACAGUUUGAUCUGAGUUUGGUGCGUUGAGCUGGACGGACUCACUGAGAAUGAGCUGUCAAUCACAAGGUAGCCCCGCCCUAAAGCAUACCCUGCUUUAUGGACUGUUUUACUCUAAAUGGGACCAUCAGUUACUAAAUGAACAUCAUGCUGUAUGGAAGACUGAAAACGUUUGAUCUUGUGUAACCAAAAUGUACCAACAUCAGUUCUGAAAUAAUGCUGUAAUAAUUCUUAUUAAUGUAAUGUCGACCUCUGCAGAUACUACAGCUAACCCUGUAGUAAGCUAACCACAUGAGUGAUUCCACCACACAUGCAGCCUGUCAGUCAGACAGGUCGACAGCCCCUCUGUACUGUCAACAGAAUUUCCACAGCAGCUCUUCACAUUAAUGUUGCAUGAAGCCAAAGUCUGUUUAAGCAGAUUUACACAGUCUCUCUCUGUCCUCUGAUGGUGAGUGGCGUUUUUUUUUUUGCAGCUGCCAGCAGCUUCGCUCUCUUUUCAGUCAGGAUCUGCCAUACAGCCUGUAUUUGUACUGAACACAGUCCGGCCUGAGUGAUGUCUGCAUAAACUUUAUUCUCCCUUUCAAAAUGAGCUCCACCACAGACUCUGAAUUUUUGAAAAUGGAUGUCUUGGAUGCUUGAUGGAGUUUUUCCCGAACCCUUCAAACAAGCUGAGUAUCUAUAGAGAGCUACUGUAAAACUUUUAUCUGCUUGAGUCACUGAACUCUUUGGACAGGCUUCUUUUAUGGGACAGACUUUAAUUCCUUUUGCACAAAAAUCUCUUGCUCAGCAAAAGGUGGGAAAUCCAUUUAUUGUAACCAGAAUGAAAAUUACUUGUGUGACUGAAUGCACAAGCCCCAGAAUAACCUGGAACUAGAGACUGCUGUACCAAAAAUAUAGUUUUUAUUUACAAUGCAUAAGAAAGGAAGAGAGAAAGAGGGGGUAAAAUGUAUGAAUCCUACAUAAAUUAAAACUUUAAAUAGAAAAAGAAACUGCACAAUGCGAGGCUGCACUAUUACGGCAGCUGGUGUAGAGUUAAGUGUUUUGAAUUGUAACAGUAGGUGGGCAAAUUAUAGAAUAGAAUAUACUCUAUUGUCCCCUAGGGGAAAUUUGUCAUGGACUCAAAGUGCGUAGUGCAUAGUAGUAGCUGCCCUUACAGACAAUAAAUACACAUAAAAUACAUAUAACAGCUAAAGAUGUACAUGUAGGCUACAUACACACUCAUGACACAUCCAAUGAAAGAUUAAAGCAAAUAAAAAACAAAACAAACAAAACACCAAAUUACUGCACACUCCCCAGGCCUCAGCGUACAGAUCUAUUUAAAAUUUUGAUGGAGGUGGGUACGAAAGAGUAUUUAAAAUGGUUCAAAUUAGAGAUAAACCACAAAAACAAACCUAUUUAGACCAUAGCAAGCUCAGUUGACUCAAACCACACAUGCAAGGUGGCUACUCUACCCCUCACUCCCCUUUAAUGCAACUGAAGACACCACAAAAGAAAAAAAGAAAAAACAGAAAA